CGGCUAGUGGCGGGAGCCCUACCAUGCAAGUCGAGCGGUAGCACAGAGAGGCUUGCUCUCGGGUGACGAGCGGCGGACGGGUGAGUAAUGUCUGGGAAACUGGCCUGAUGGAGGGGGAUAACUACUGGAAACGGUAGCUAAUACCGCAUAAUGUCGCAAGACCAAAGUGGGGGACCUUCGGGCCUCAUGCCAUCAGAUGUGCCCAGAUGGGAUUAGCUAGUAGGUGGGGUAACGGCUCACCUAGGCGACGAUCCCUAGCUGGUCUGAGAGGAUGACCAGCCACACUGGAACUGAGACACGGUCCAGACUCCUACGGGAGGCAGCACUGGGGAAUAUUGCACAAUGGGCGCAAGCCUGAUGCAGCCAUGCCGCGUGUGUGAAGAAGGCCUUCGGGUUGUAGAGCACUUUCAGCGGGGAGGAAGGAGGUGAGGUUAAUAUUCUCGGCGAUUGAUGUUACCCGCAGAAGAAGCACCGGCUAACUCCGUGCCAGCAACCGCGGUAAUACGGAGGGAGCGAGCGUUCAUCGCAAUUACUGGGCGUUAAGCGCACGCAGGCGGGCUGUCAGUCUGAUCUGAGAUCCAUGGGCUUAAUCUGGCAUGUGAAUUCUAUUCUGUCUGGUAGAGCCUCGUAUAGGGGUGUCGAUUUACUAGUUUAGGGUGAUUUGAAUUUCAUCUUGAUUAAUACUAUCUUCUUUUC
rnacentral:rRNA from 1 species